UACGGAGGGGGCUAGCGUUGUUCGGAAUUACUGGGCGUAAAGCGCACGUAGGCGGCUUUGCAAGUCAGAGGUGAAAGCCUGGAGCUCAACUCCAGAAUUGCCUUUGAGACUGCAUCGCUUGAACACGGGAGAGGUGAGUGGAAUUCCGAGUGUAGAGGUGAAAUUCGUAGAUAUUCGGAAGAACACCAGUGGCGAAGGCGGCUCACUGGACCGUUGUUGACGCUGAGGUGCGAAAGCGUGGGGAGCAAACAGG
rnacentral:rRNA from 1 species